CACCACUCAAGCCUGGCUUGGUAUUGGACGUCGCGGCUUCCGCGCGUCUUAAAGUCUCCGGCUGAGCUAUUCAUCUCUAAGCGUUGUGAUACAUAUUCGCUUCUGACGACGAGUAGUUCUUCGGCCGUUAAAUCUUUCUUAA
rnacentral:misc_RNA from 2 species